AAUUUUGGUGGAGGGUUUACAGGUGCCUUGGCUGCAUGGUCAUGGACAAUUUCCUCCUGGGCAAUGCUGCCAAGCUCAGCUCUAAUCCUCUGCCCAGCCCUGGGAGCUGCUACACUUGCACAGGAGGAAAAGAAGCAACCUUUAGAGCAUGUACAAGGGCAGAAUCUGGGCAAUGAGGUGGAAAGAAUGUCAAAGGGAAGGUGGCAUAGGGACAGACCUGGGGAUACCAGAGGGGUCACAUUUGCCUCUGCAGCCAUUAUCCAGCAGGUUGCCCUCAGUGGGAACAUAACAGGGAGAGCUCUUCUCAGGGGCUGCCAGCAUCUCUGUGCCCUCUUGCUGACCUGCAUCUGAAGAAAGUGGGGACCCUGAUCUGAACACCUUGAACUGGAAAUGUGAGCAUGAUCCUGUGUUACCACAACUCUGCACCAUGGGUGAAAGCAUACAUUGUGUCUAGAGGAAAUGCACAUCUAAGCAGGGGGGAAAUAACCAAGAGGGCUGCAGGGUCACCCAGCUCCAGGUCAGGAAUAAGAGCCAUUUAAAGGAAAAACUGUAAAUCCUAACCUAACCCAGACCUUUCUCGGAGACAAAAACUUCACCUGCUUACAUCUGUCUGUAGCCUUUAUCAUAUUCUCUUUUAAUGCUUUUCCUAAUCCUAAGCAAAGCUGAAAAAAUAUGGGAUAUUUGGAAUAGCUGAUCUACCCCCACUGCAGAUCAGGAGGAUAGGAAGAUUAGAGGGGACAUGGAACCUCAUUUUCCAUUUGUUGUACAACAGGAUCCUGAUCUCUUGGGUACCCAGCAGCUCAGUGUGAUGGUGCCUUUGACAGCUAUGAAGAGGGAAGCGGGUGCCAGGGCGCCCUGUGCCCAAGGACUUGGCUCCCUUCUUGCUCUGCUGAAUGCCUUCCCAGAGCAGGCCUGGUCCUGGGAUUAUUGGGGUGGGGUACAGCAGUCCUGGGUUUACACAGUAAGAUAUAGCAGAGUUUAAGCAGGAAAAGCACAAAAAUGCUUCAGGCAGAAUUGCAGCAUGAGACACUGAGACCAUUUUUUGUCUGUCAGCAGCUCACUUGCUCUCAUUCCAGGGGAUAGUUCCUGGGUAAAACUGGCUCCUUAACCCAAUACAACUGCCUUGGGAGGUCAUUGCUUCAGCUCAUCAAGGUGCCCAGCAGAGUGACUAUUGCACUUGCAGAAAUCUCUUGAAGGCUCAGUUAAAUUUGAAGCAACACUGUGUGCUUACAAUGCCUGCAGGAUCAGAAAAAUGGUACAAAAAGCAUCUGAAAUGGUAUUGACCCCAAUUUCUGGCAAAUGUAAGCACCUUCUCCAGCUACAUUCAAUUUGCAGAAGUCUAAUACAGUCUGUGGAACACUUUGAAAUGUAAAGAUAGACCCUAGGGCAGAGCUAUCCUCCACAGGCUGUUUUCCCUGCUAAGCCUGAAAGUUCAGGGUUUGGAGAAUUUAUUUUUAGUAACUCUUAAAAGAUGCCAAGCCACAGAAGGCUAAUUUGAGUUGCAGCUCAGCCUCUGCCCUGCUGUAGGAAAACGAACAUUAAGAGCAAAUUUCUACUGCUCCUCUGACAGAGGAAAGUUACUUGCUGAAAGGUGCCAGUGCUGUAUAUAGACCCCUCCAGGAAGUCAGUCAACAAAACCCAUGAACAACUUGAGGAAGGGACGAGACUAUGACUUCCCAGAGGCACUACAAAACAAGGAGGUGCUCUUCUGUGAGGAGUUAUAUCACUGGACUUGGAGCUGCAACAUGCAUUGCUUGGUUAUCUUCAAGAAAGGAGGAAAAACAGAUUGUCUCACCCACAACAUUUCACACUGAAUAAAUGCAUAAACCCUUCCUCAUAGUUCCACAUUCCCUAGGUAAAGUUUAUCCUACAGAAAGCUCAUCUGCCUCCCAACAUAGCUUUAGCUUGCUAAAUAUGGUGCCAUCAGUUUUUUGGUAUAUUAGAUAUUUUCUCCUGGGGGCCCAGAAUAAAGCCAGGUACUCCAAGGUGUACCAAUAUAAAUUGCCGAGAGAUUGUCUCCCAAUUUUUUCACUCCUUCGGUAUUUUCAUCUUCUUUCACCAGGCUGCAGGUGGCAAAAUUACUGUACUGGUAUGUAUUUUUUUAUUUCUAGUGAAGAGGGGACACAUUUUUUGUAGGGUCUUUCACUUAGCACUUCUCAGUUAAUGCUGCACAACUGUGUGUGCCUUCUAUAAAAGACUGUGUCUAGUUUCCCUGAAAAGAUGGCAAAUUGGGUGGCUAGCCCUCAUUACUUCUUUUUGCUAAAUUUUGCUGAGAAGAUUAAGUCAAAACCAUAUUGCAGCACAAGUAUUUCCUUUCCUCAGCUGAACCUGUCUCAUGCUGCUGUAAUGUUUUUUUUUUAUGUGGUUCUUGGAGCUGCCAUCCUCAUUUGGGCUGUGGGUUGGACUCUACACUAUUCCCUUGCAGGCCAGAUGGCCUCUCUGGUCUCCUCUGGGCUUUUCCCUGUUCCCAUUGGGAUGCCCAAUUCAACCACCCCUCUGCAGGAAUCAGUACUGAAAGAGAAAUCAAACAAUGGCCACGGCAGCAGGGCUAUGAAAAGGCAGAGCUGAAGAGUUUGCCCAGUUCUGCUGUGAUGGAGCAGGGGCCAGGUUUUGUUAACCAGGAGCUCACAGCUGCUCUUGGGCACCAUAACCCAACGCUGGGCCAGUGGCUCCCUGGGUGCUACUGAGUGUAUGCUACUAUUUGAUACAGUUUAAAUAUUAAAUUAAAUGGAAAGCUGAUGCUACAGCUCUGUGGAAGGUAAUCCCUUCUACACAAGGUCCUGCUGCGGGACAAGCAGUUUGUGACACAUCUGUGGAUUAAAAUCAAGGCAAACACCAAUGCAUCUUAAUGGAACUGCACUCAGACGAGGUUAGUGUGAGCACACCUAGAAACAAAUGAAGGAAAGCUUCCCCUCAAACCCUGCUAUAGAAGCCCAAAGAGGAGAAAAGGCUGAUUAUCUCCCUAGCUGGGUCAGAACAGCAAGAGAAAAUAAAUGCCUUAGGUAAACAAGAACAGUGAGAUACCGGUGAGUAGGAGACAGAAAAUGAAAGUGUUGUUGGAGGUGUGAGCAAGUCUCAAUGUGCUGUAUUUAAUAAUCCCUUGACAUUUUCAGUAAGAAAGAACAAAUGUUUGUGUACUGUGGCAAGGAGCUCUGGCAGUGAAAUUGUGUUACUUAUACAUUAUGCAAAAAAAUUACAUUA